rnacentral:rRNA from 1 species
CAGCCGCCACGGUAAUACGUAGGGUGCGAGCGUUAAUCGGAAUUACUGGGCGUAAAGCGUGCGCAGGCGGUUGUGUAAGACAGGUGUGAAAUCCCCGGGCUUAACCUGGGAACUGCGCUUGUGACUGCACAGCUAGAGUAUGGCAGAGGGGGGUGGAAUUCCACGUGUAGCAGUGAAAUGCGUAGAGAUGUGGAGGAAUACCGAUGGCGAAGGCAGCCCCCCGGGACGAGACUGACGCUCAUACACGAAAGCGUGGGGAGCAAACAGGAUUAGAUACCCCCGUAGUCCCUGUCUCUUAUAC